CUACUGAGCAAAGGACCAAAUGUAGAACAG
rnacentral:piRNA from 1 species